UGCCCGGUCGCCAAGCGGUAAGGCAGUGGAUUUUGGAUCCACCAUUCGCAGGUUCGAAUCCUGCCCGGGCAACAA
rnacentral:tRNA from 2 species